GGUAAGAUAGCUCAAUGGUAAAGUGCUUGUCUUGCAUGCAUGAGGCCCUGGGUUCGAUUCCCUAGCACCA
rnacentral:tRNA from 1 species